GACGAACGCUGGCGGCGUGCUUAACACAUGCAAGUCGAACGGAAAGGCCUGCUUUCCCUUGUGGAUUGCGGGUACUCGAGUGGCGAACGGGUGAGUAACACGUGAGUGAUCUGCCCCCAACUUGGGUAUAAGCCUGGGAAACUGGGUCUAAUUCCCGAUAGGACUGCAGGGUGGUGCCUGUGGUGGAAAACGAUUUUCUAGUGGUUGGGGAUGAGCUCGCGGCCUAUCAGCUUGUUGGUGGGGUAAUGACCUACCAAGGCGGCGACGGGUAGCCGGCCUGAGAGGGUGGACGGCCACAUUGGGACUGAGAUACGGCCCAGACUCCUACGGGAGGCAGCAGUGGGGAAUAUUGCACAAUGGGCGGAAGCCUGAUGCAGCGACGCCGCGUGGGGGAUGACGGCCUUCGGGUUGUAAACUCCUUUCGACCGCGAGGAAGCCACCUGGUUGGAAGGGUGGUGACGGUAGUGGUAGAAGAAGCACCGGCUAACUACGU
rnacentral:rRNA from 1 species